GGCUCAGGAUGAACGCUAGCGGCAGGCCUAAUACAUGCAGGCCGAACGGCAAGUCUGAUAGCAAUACUUAGCCAAGAGUGUCGUACGGGUGCGUAACACGUAUGCAACCUACCCUAUACAGGAGGAUAGCCUAGGGAAACCUGGAUUAACCCUUCAUAGUAUUAUUGGAUGGCAUCAUUUGAUAAUUAAAACUGAGGUGGUAUAGGAUGGGCAUGCGUCUGAUUAGUUAGUUGGCGGGGUAAUGGCCCACCAAGACGAUGAUCAGUAGGGGUUCUGAGAGGAAGAUCCCCCACACUGGCACUGAGAUACGGGCCAGACUCCUACGGGAGGCAGCAGUAGGGAAUAUUGGUCAAUGGAUGCAAGUCUGAACCAGCCAUGCCGCGUGCAGGAAGAAGGCCUUCUGGGUUGUAAACUGCUUUUGCCAGGGGAUAAAAUUUCCAUGCGUGGAAAACUGAAGGUACCUGGUGAAUAAGCCACGGCUAACUACGUG
rnacentral:rRNA from 1 species